AUGGCAAUGAACAUGGCACAUAUUCGUGACACAAAGUGGCUGACACUCGAGGUAUGCAGGGAGUUCCAGAGGGGCACUUGCUCUCGCUCAGACCAGGAGUGCAAGUUCGCUCAUCCGGCCAAGAGCUGUCAGAUCGACAAUGGACGGGUCAUCGCUUGCUUUGACUCACUCAAGGGCCGUUGCUCCAGGGAGAACUGCAAGUACCUGCACCCUCCUGCCCACCUAAAGACCCAGCUUGAGAUCAAUGGCAGGAACAACCUGAUCCAGCAGAAGAACAUGGCCAUGCUGGCCCAGCAGAUGCAGCUUGCGAACGCUAUGAUGCCCGGCACGCAGCUACCACCUAUGGUGAGAGGACACACACGUAUGAACACACCACAGCUACAGUUAAUGCCCAUGUUCUCGGUUACACCAGGCCUGGCUACAAACGCCAGUGCGGCAGCAGCUGCAGCUGCUGCCUUUAAUCCCUACCUGAGCCCUAUGUCACCCGGCCUGAUGCCCCAAGAGAUCAUGUCCAGCACCCCUGUCCUCAUGGCCUCCAGCCCAACCAUCAGCCAAGUCCCCAACGCUGCCGCUGCUGCAGCCCAGAAACUGCUGAGAACAGACAGACUCGAGGUGUGUCGGGAAUAUCAGAGGGGCAACUGCUCUCGGGGGGAGAACGACUGUCGCUUUGCCCACCCAUCGGACAGCACCAUGAUCGACAACAAUGACAACACAGUCACCGUGUGCAUGGACUACAUCAAGGGUCGCUGCUCCCGGGAAAAGUGCAAGUACUUCCAUCCGCCAGCCCACCUACAAGCCAAAAUUAAGGCUACCCAGCACCAGGUGAACCAGGCCACAGCCGCCGCGGCCAUGACUCAGUCGGCUGUCAAAUCACUGAAGCGACCCCUCGACGCAACCUUUGACCUGGGCAUCGCCCCUAGUGUCAUGGCUCCCAUGCCAAAGCGGGCAGCCAUGGAGAAGGCAAACGGAGCCUCUGCCAUGUUUAACACCGGCAUGCUCCAGUACCAACAGGCCCUGGCCAACAUGCAGUUUCAGCAGCAGGCUGCUUUCCUCCCAUCAGGCUCAAUAUUGUGCAUGACACCUGCAGCCGGCGUUGUUCCCAUGAUGCACGGUGGUAAUCCAGCCACUGUGUCUGCAGCCACCUCAUCUGCCACAAGCGUUCCCUUUGCAACCGCCUCCACCAAUCAGGACUCUUCCUUAUCAAAGUUGACUACCAACGAAUACAUGCAAUUGGUAUGUAUGAGAUUCCAAUAAUAUCUGCAGAUCAUCUGAGUAGUCACAAGUAUUUGACUCAAAUGUAGUUCCUCUCAAGAACAAUCAAGCGAAUGUGUGCUGGCACCGUCCAAGCCAAAAGAGUUCAGCCUUUAUGUACAUAACCUUCAGAAUGUCAAGCAGCGGGGCGAAGAGAAGGGUCUGCCAUCUCUGGUCUCAUCACACGAGUCAACAUCAAGGGUGCAACACGUGAUUGGUGCCAUCUUCCCGCAUAGACACAUUUUUUUAGUCAAAUUCAACGUCCAGCCGAGAGAGGAGGAUAUCUUGGUGCCGCGGUCAGUGUGUGAAACAUUACACCUCUGUCUCUGACUAAAACAAAGCACUCAAUUAGUUCUAAAUUAUUCUCAUCACUGCAUGCACAGAGGGUCAAGAGCGUGGUUGCACAAAGCAACAUCCAGUGCUGGUACGUUAGUAGACCAAGAUUUUUCUUUCCCUUUUUUUUUUUUUUAUUCGUUCUGCUUUAUUAUUAUUAUUUUAAUUGAUAGCCAUAUUUCAUAGUUUACAUGUGAAAUGCAAACAUGCACCUUGAAUUUGAAUACAAAAGUGAAAGGCACAACGAUUUAAACAGGAAUUUUGUUGGCCAAAAGAAUUAGGCAUGUACAGUAUUGUGUUUUUACGGCUACUAGUGAAACUAGAUGUUGAAAUGAGGGUCUUGGACAUAUGAAUGUUCUGGUUAAACCAACAUACCUGUGUACCUUGAAAGCACAGCCAGGCUAGCUUUUUUUUUUUCUCCUCACCUUAUCAUGUGCCAUCAAGGCCAUACAGCUAAAACCAGAGUGUUAUCUCAGCAGUGUUAUUUGUUUACCGAAGGUUCAAGUUUUGUAUGGCUCUUUUUGUAAUGUUUUGUUUCAGAAUCUCCAUUGUGAGUGUUUUUUUUUGUUUUUUUUUACUCUUUUACUUUGUUUCUCUAAUCAAUCAGUUUUAGAAGUGGGUUUUUGUGCCUUUUUUUUAAUGUUUUUUUUCUUUUAAAUCAAAAAUGGAGGGUUUUUCUAAAGUUUGUCAUACCUCUUUUCAGAGAGUAGUGUUGUUCAUGCUUGUUGGGAUUAAGAAGUCCAUUGACUCUAAAGCCUGGUAGAGGGUGUAGCUUCGAUUGACUGUGUGUUCCCCCUCUUUUAAAGAGGAGUAACUCUCGAACUGUGUCUCCAAGAAGCACUGUUGAGCAUUGCGUUGAUGGGAAUUUUAAAACAACAGACCCAAAGGUCUAUUAGGUCAUUUUAACCACGUGUGCACUUGACUGAUUGUUUGUCUGCUCACCCCGUUUGAAUUUCACAAGCCAUCCUCAGUGAACUUUUACUUUUGAGGAGAUACAACACUUUCUCUGUGUGUAUUUCAUUCACCUGUAGAUCUGACGACAGAAACCAAAGCACACUUUUUCUCCCAGUCGUGUUCACGAAUGAUUACAGCAGCAUCUCUCAAAAGGCUGAAACAAUUAAGGAAACAUGUUUAUCAUCUUCAUUCAUUUGCCCGUUUUAUGAUCACUUAUUGUUUCUGUUUUCAUAAAGGUGUGUAGUAUGUCUUUACCGAUUGUAACAUACCUAACAAAGCCUUAGAUUACAAUUAAUGGGCCUUAGCCCAAUCAAUGUACUUUCAAUCACCAUGCAGGUAAAGAACACCAAUGAUGUUUUAUAGUUCUCUCACAUGCCGCAUAUGAUCUUUUUUGAUCUUCUAUCGAUGUUAAAGUAACAAUUACUCUCUUAAAUUUCAUGUGUUAUGUACUACUUAGGAUUUGAGUCGAUUUGAGGUAUGUAGUUGUAGAUUUUUUUUUUCUUUAUUUUUUGCCUUACUAUAUAUUACUUGACAACAAUGAUAUAGCCGUUGUAGAUUUUGAGGUAGUAUGACAUUCAUAACUUUUUCAAACCAUAUAAAUGAUAAUGUGUUGAGUCAGUUUGAAAUAUUCACAUUAUUCAUAUAGCUGGAUGUCUUUUUUCAGUUAAUGUUACAUUAUCAGUUAAUUUUGUUGAUAAAGAGUUUUGUUUUUGAUACAAGGAAUAAGAUCAAUUCAUUUGGUGCCACAGCAGCAUCUCUGAGUAGACAAAAAAAAACAACAACUAAUGUUUUAACCAACUUAAGGUUUCCUUGAUCAUGUUUUAAAAUAUAUUGUAUUAUAUUAUAAAUUUGCCAUGUUUUAGAGUAAAAAUUAUUUUCUACUGUAUCCAUUUCAAGAAGAUAUGUACUUUUGUUUGAAUAUUUCUUAAGUUUGCCCUGAAUGUCAGGCCAAAACGAGCAGUGAGAUUGACGGGUGUUUGGAUGUGAGAUUAGGAGCGAGAAAGCAGAUACUUCUCCGGAUAUGAGGAGUACCAAAUGCUGCAGACAUGAGUUCUAACCUAAAGGACGAAGGUUGACUUUUUGCACUUCUGUAUAUAGUCAAAUGAACAGAGAAAAAAAUGUGUAUCAUAUUGAGAUAUUAUUUUGAAUAAAAAAAGAUCUAUAAUUAUAAGGAAUUUUGCUAGAUUAAUUUAAAAUUCUUAAAUUAGAAGACCAGCUAAAAAAAAAAUUGCUUGCAAAGAAGGGCACUAGUUUCUUGGCCAAUGCAUUCAGAGAAAGCUAUAUGCGCUUUUUGACUUUCUUUAUUUUUUCAGAGGCUAGUUUUGCCAGGGAAUGUUGCAGGGAAGUAUAUAUCCCUGUGUCAUGCUUACUCCAUCCCUCUUGUAGGAUCACACAUCCAGUGAAGUCCAUUUAGCAUUUGUUGGACUUGGUCAUGCAGUAUUGCUGCUCCCAUGGUACAGAUGAUACAUUCAACUAUCAAAGUUUAUAUUCUAUUAUAGUUUGAUUUGACUGCAUGUUAAAGUACAGUACUGCAUAGAUAUGUAAAGAAAGAUAAACACAUUCAGAAUACAAAAUACACAGUAAUAUGUUUAUUUUUUAUCAAGUAUACGUACAGUAGAUAACAUCCACAGUGGGGAGAAAUAAUACUUCAGAAACAAGUCAUCUUACUCUUGUGUGAAAAGAUCAUUUUCCAAGCAAUCAUUUUAUUUAAACAGAGAUCAAAUAUUAGCACUCAUCCACCCCGGAUACUUUCUCAUAGACAGAUAAUAACAGUCGACUCUGACUCACAGGAAUAUGUUGUUGCUAUCAUAUCUGUGCUCUCAGCAGGAGAAGGCUCAACACACCAAAUGCUUGUUUGGCAAACUUAGUCUUUUCAAAUGAAUGUAACAAGUCACCGUUCAACGUGUUUGUGACUCGAGGCUGCUGUUAAGUCGCUACAGAACCAAAGCACCAUUUUUUUCUCCAAACCAGAUGUUCAGUCAUAUGCCGACUGUAACCGAGGUUUUUCUUCCCUGCUGAGGGCACACGAACGCUUUGACUGCUUUUCACUUGUAAGUGCAACCACCAGUUAUGUAUUUGCUAACAGUUGCCACACAAUAAUGUACUAUUCUGACUUCAGAUUUGUUUAUGCACAUUUUAUUGUUGCCAUAAUUGACUCUUGCUGUAUGGAUGAAAAAAAAUCUGAAUAAAACAAUAUUUGAUUUGCUCAUGCAA